GCAAAGUUUGGGGGGCUGGGUCCCGGCGGCGCCGCGGCCCUCGGGGGGCCCUUUCUGCUCCGGGGCUGCGCGCCCGCGGAUUCGCUGUCUCGCCGCUUCGCCUCCUUCCUCCGUCUCCCUCCUCUUAAUGGCUAGAACUCUACCUCUUAACUCAUCCAGAUAUGCAAGAAGCUACUACUUCGUGCCUGGCACCCGUACCCGUCCAGGCGCCAAGGAUAGGAGAAUGAACUUGACCAAGUUUCUACUCUCCUGAUGUUUGCAUUACGAUUUUUUUAAAGAAGGUUUUAUGUAUUCAUGAGAGUCUCGGAGAGGCAGAGACACAGGCAGAGAGAGAAGCAAGCAGGCUCCCAGCUGCCAGCGCGGGAUGCAGGACUCCAUCCCAGGACUCUGGGAUCACCACCUGAGCAGAAGGCAGAUGCUCAACCACUGAGCCACCCAGGCACACAGUGAGAGAGAGAGAGAGGCAGAGACACAGGCAGAGGGAGAAGCAGGCUCCACGCACCGGGAGCCCGACGUGGGAUUCGAUCCUGGGUCUCCAGGAUCGCGCCCUGGGCCAAAGGCAGGCGCCAAACCGCUGCGCCACCCAGGGAUCCCAGUGUGCAUGUUUUUAAUGUGAACAUAUUUUUAAUCCUUUGGGAUCUAUACCCAGGAAUUGAAUUGCUAGGGCAUAUAGUAACUCUGUUUUCACUUUUUGGGAAACAAACUGCUUUCCUUUGUGGCUGUACCAUUUUACAUUCCCACUGGUGAUGUAAAAAUGUUCCAAUUUCUCCACAUCGUCACCAACAUUUUUAUUACAUAUUUUUUGUUGUUUGUCUGUUUGGGGAAUUGGCAUCCUAGUGGAUGUGAAUUGAUAUCUCAUGGUUUUGAAUUGCAUUUCCCUAAUAAAUAGUGAUGUUCAGCACCUUCCCAUGUGUUUCCUAGUCAUUUGCAGAUCUUUGGAGGUAUAUCUAUUCUGAUUCUUUGGCCAUUUUUUAUGUUCUUUUUUUUAUUUUUAUUUUUAUUUUUUAAAAGACUUUAUCUAUUCAUGCGAUACAGAGAGAGAAAGAGAGAGAGGCAG